rnacentral:lncRNA from 1 species
GUUCGGGCAGGGCCGUCACAGGAGCCCCCGAGAACAGACGUCACUCUAGUUUCACCCCCAGCGAUGCGACACCAGCACAUUGAGACUCCAACUUUAUUAUUGUUCACACUCGGUUGGCCAACAAAGGGGACAGGCAGCCUCGAGUCUUCCUCCGCACCAUACAAAACAUCUGCUCUUUGGGUCCCAUUCGCGGCCUACCUCACUGCACCGGAACUUUCCAAUGGAAGGACACUGUGGGUGGGUCAGACUCCAGUGGUUUUUUCUGUUCCUAUUUGUACGAGCUCUGAAGGGAGUGUGGACCUUCCUGUGUGUCACCCGCUGUCUUCAUGUCUGCCUGGCCUCGCGGUUCACCGUCCCCAGAGCCAGAGCUCCUACACAGUUCUGAGGUGCGCGAAGGGUGCCAGCCGAGCAUCACUGCCAUAGAACAAAGGCCUGCCUGCACCAUCUGUGGUGGAGAAUUCCAUCCUGUUCAUGCCAGAAGCACCAUACUGCUCGCGUGGCAUCAACACUGAAACCAAAGAUGGAUGUUUUCGCUCAACAGAAACACCUUCUGCCUCUCUGGGCCUGUGGGCCUGUGGUCGGUCCCCAGUGGAAUGGGUCCAAGUCGCCGCUAGAAGCAGAGGUGAAGAGGCCCGGGGCAAACACUCAGCCCUCGGCUGCUUGCUCGAGAAGGGGAAGGGGACAAGCCCCGCGCUGGGAGCUGACUAGUGAGAAUAGGGGGCAGAAAAUGCACAUUCGAGUCUCUAAGCAACCUAAGGCCCUCCACCUUCUCUGAGCCUCCCUUUUCUGUAAAACGUGAAUGUGAGGGAUCAAUUGUGAAAUUGGCCCCAAUUGCCCCUCCCUCCGCUGCACCUACGCCCUUUCCAGGGUCCCUUUUCAGCCCUGCCCCUGAGUGGUAGAGCGUGUCUUCCCACACCGUGCACUGUGGGGCCUUGUGACGGGCUCUGGCCUCCGUAGUGUAGCAGCGGUGACAGGGAGCCAGUUUGGAGGCUGGGCCCCUGGAGGCUGGCACCCCUGUUCGUUCCUCCUCGUUCGUUGUGGCCUGAGAGUAAGCCUGGCCAGCCUGCAAGGAGGAGAAUGGAGGCGUCCAGCUGGCAGCUCUUGGGGGCCACCAGCACACUGCCUAGUGACCCACAGCUGUCCAGAGGCACAGAGGAGAGCACAGUCCAAACUGCCCUAACCGCCUGGCAACUCCCAGCCAUAGAGGCUGCCCAGCUGGACUGGGAGCUCAGUACAUGCUGUUUGAAGCCACUAGAGUUUGGAGUGGUUUGCAACACAACAAUAGCUAGCUUAUUCUUGCUCUAGCUCACAGAUGUGGUGAAGGUCAAGCGAAGCCACGUUUAUUAGAAUGCUUCGUGCAUCGUAAAUAGCGCACAGAUAGGCGCUGUCUCACCCAUCCCGAACGUCUCGAUCUGUGUUGAGAUGGAGUAAGACACUCACCGAUGUAAGCAGCCCCUUCUCUCCCCUCCAUGCUCUGCUCCAGCACACAGAAGAGCUUGUGUUUUCUCUUCUAAAUACUUUGGGCAACCUGUAGUCUCCCUCAUGUGCUCAACCAGUACUUACUGGCCAGCUACGAUGUGCACGGCACCGUUUCAGGCACCGAGGAUACUGGGCUUAGGUGGGUUAGCGGAGGAAAUCAAUGAGUGUAUAAAACAAAAGUAUCAGAAAGGCUACGGAGAAGACAAGUAUGGGCGGGGGGGGCAAUUGAGUAAUUGAGUAUCUAGACAGGGUGCUGUGGGAAGGAGGUCAUGAUGAGAGAGAGCCAAUGGCUGGAAGAUGCCAGAUGGUUGGUGUUUCUCCUCACAAGCUGGGAGCUGCUACGCUCCUCAGGGUCCUGCCUUGCGGUCACGAGUUGGUGGAAUUGGCAGUGCUAUUUGCUCACCAUAAUUUUAGUGGCAGGGAGCUCACCAACGCCUGACAUCACUGGAUUACAUAUUUGGAAAGAAAGAGGUUUAGAUGUGUCUUAACGAUGUAUUGCUGAGCAAAAUGUCACCCCAGAACUUAGUGAUAUAAAAUGCAAAUAGCUGGGGCGCCUGGGUGGCUCUGUGGGUUAAGCGUCUGCCUUCAGCUCAGGUCAUGAUGAUAGGGUCCUGGGAUCGAGCCCUGGGUUGGGGGGGUGUCCCUGCUCAGUGGGGAGCCUGCUUCUUCUUCAGCCCCUCCCCCUGCUUGUGCUCUCUCUCUCUCAAAUAAAUGAAUAAAAUCUUUAAAAAAGAAAUAAAAU